UACGGAGGGGGCGAGCGUUAUUCGGAAUUAUUGGGCGUAAAGGGCGCGUAGGCGGCUUGACAAGUCAAAGGUGAAAUCCCUCGGCUCAACUGAGGAACUGCCUUUGAAACUGUCUGGCUUGAGGCCGGGAGGGGGUAGCGGAAUUCCCAGUGUAGCGGUGAAAUGCGUAGAUAUUGGGAGGAACACCAGUGGCGAAGGCGGCUACCUGGACCGGUUCUGACGCUGAGACGCGAAAGCGUGGGGAGCAAACAGG
rnacentral:rRNA from 1 species